GCUCGUAGUUGGAUUUCGGGCGUGGAGGUUCGGUCCGCCGUUUCGGUGUGCACUGUCUUUCUGCGUCUUUCUGUCGGGGACGCGCUUCUGGCCUUAAUUGGCUGGGACGUGGAUUCGACGAGGUUACUUUGAAAAAAUUAGAGUGUUCAAAGCAAGCUAAAGCUCUGAAUACAUUAGCAUGGAAUAACGCGAGAGGACUCGGUCCUUAUUUUGUUGGUCUUCAAGGAUGGAGUAAUGAUUAAGAGGGACAGUUGGGGGCAUUCGUAUUUCAUUGCUAGAGGUGAAAUUCUUGGAUUUAUGAAAGACGAACUUCUGCGAAAGCAUUUGCCAAGGAUGUUUUCAUUGAUCAAGAACGAAAGUUGGGGGCUCGAAGAUGAUCAGAUACCAUCCUAGUCUCAACCAUAAACGAUGCCGACUAGGGAUUGGCAGGUGUUACAUCGAUGACUCUGCCAGCACCUUAUGAGAAAUCAAAGUUUUUGGGUUCCGGGGGGAGUAUGGUCGCAAGGCUGAAGCUUAAAGGAAUUGACGGAAGGGCACCACCAGGAGUGGAGCCUGCGGCUUAAUUUGACUCAACACGGGGAAACUUACCAGGUCCAGACAUAGUAAGGAUUGACAGAUUGAGAGCUCUUUCUUGAUUCUAUGGGUGGUGG
rnacentral:rRNA from 1 species